AGCGGUAUGACGACUGCGUGGUCCCAUGGUGUUUAUACUUGCGUACUAUUGUUUUUUUUUUUUUUUUUUUUUUAGGUCUUGAUUGAUUUUUGAUUUUCCCAUGAUGUCAAGCAGAGGCACUGAGUGUGAAGAUAGCUGUACCUUUGGAUGUAUUUCAAGAUGAUCCUAGGAGAAGGACAGAUGAGAACAGCAGGUCAGUGGAGCAUUUAUAACAGCAGCAGCCAGGGUUAACUGGCAGGGAAGAGGAUGAUUUAGGUGAGCCAGACACAGGGCCAAAACAAGUUAAGCCAUCACAGUAUCCAGUUAAGCACUUUGGAUUGCAAAACUAAGAGAUUAGUGAUGCACCAAUUACAUUUAUGGCCGAUACCGAUAUUUUCCUUGCCAAAAAACGAUACCGAUCACUAUAUUUUAAAUUUUAGCGUCCUUAAGCAUUCUAGUGCAGUUAAAUAGUUAACACAUGCACGCAAUGAUCUAAAAUCAAAUCAAACUUCAUUUGUAUUCGGCGCAUGUGACAAGUGUAGCUCUUACCAUGAAAUGCGUAUAUUACAAGGCCUUACCUCUACUUGAACUGCACUGUUGGUUAAUGAAAUAUUCAAAUAAAAUAGUAACACAGGGCUAUAUACAGGGGUACGGUACCGAGUCAGUGUGUUGGGGGGGGGGUACAGGUUAAUUGAGGUAAUUAGUACAUGUAGGUAGGGGUGAAGUGACUAUGCAUAAAUAAACAGCGAGCAGCAGCAGUGUACAAAACAAAUGGAGGGGGGAGUCAAUGUAAAUAGUCUAGUGGCCAUUUGAUUAAUUGUUCAUUCACUAUUAAUUCUUGGUUACGUGAUCUCGACUGAUGAGUGAUAUUCCGAGGGAACCUCGUGCUCCCGAGUGGCGCAGCGGUCUAAGGCACUGCAUCUCAGUGCAAGAGGCGUCACUAUAGUCCCUGGUUCGAAUCCAGGAUGUAUCAAAUCCGGCCGUGAUUUGUGAGUCCCAUAGGGCGGCGCACAAUUGGCCCUGCGUCAUCCGGGUUUGGCUGGGGUAGGCCAUCAUUGCAAAUAAGAAUUAGUUCUUAACUGACUUGCCUAGUUAAAUAAAGGUUACACACUGACCAAAACGUUACUUUGUUGGUAUUUACGCAUAUCACCAUUACCAGUAAAACAACCUAUCAAAACCUAAUUAUUUCACUUACUUGCUGUUUCGCUGUUCAGUUGUUUCAUUCUCAACAAGGAUUUCAUCAUACAUGUCAAGCAGUGAAGUUUCAGCUGUCUAUCCGUGGCCUCUCUUCCUCGGUGCGCACUGUCAC
rnacentral:lncRNA from 1 species